AGCUUAUACAUGCAGUCGAGGGGCAGCACAGGGUAGCAAUACCUGGGUGGCGACCGGCAAACGGGUGCGGAACACGUACAGAACCUACCUUCGAGCGGGGGGUAGCCCAGAGAAAUUUGGAUUAAUACCCCAUAGUAUAUUUGGAUGGCAUCAUUUGAAUAUUAAAGAUUUAUCACUUGAAGAUGGCUGUGCGUAUGAUUAGGUAGUUGGCGGGGUAACGGCCCACCAAGCCUACGAUCAUUAACUGGUGUGGGAGCACGACCAGUCACACGGGCACUGAGACACGGGCCCGACUCCUACGGGAGGCAGCAGUAAGGAAUAUUGGUCAAUGGACGCAAGUCUGAACCAGCCAUGCCGCGUGGAGGAUGAAGGUCCUCUGGAUUGUAAACUUCUUUUAUCUGGGACGAAAAAAGGGAAUUCUUUCUCGUCUGACGGUACCAGAUGAAUAAGCACCGGCUAACUCCGUGCCAGCAGCCGCGGUAAUACGGAGGGUGCAAGCGUUAUCCGGAUUCACUGGGUUUAAAGGGUGCGUAGGCGGGUAUGUAAGUCCGUGGUGAAAUCUCCGAGCUUAACUCGGAAACUGCCAUGGGUACUGCGUAUCUUGAAUGUUGUGGAGAUGAGCGGAAUAUGUCAUGUAGCGGUGAAAUGCUUAGAUAUGACAUAGAACACCAAUUGCGAAGGCAGCUCACUACACAAAUAUUGACGCUGAGGCACGAAAGCGGGGGAUCAAACAGGAUUAGAUACCCUGGUAGUCCACGCCCUAAACGAUGAUUACUCGACAUACGUGGUACACAAUGUGUGUCUGAGCGAAAGCAUUAAGUAAUCCACCUGGGAGUACGACGCAUGUGAAA
rnacentral:rRNA from 1 species